CCCACGCCAAGUUUCCUCUCUGGAAUGCUGAGCUUUUCUAGAGAGAAAUCAAAAAAUCACUCGUUGACCCUGAAAAUGUUUCUGGUUUUUGGUGUUUCCUCACUUUGCUCCGAGUAGGUGGAGCCAGCCAAUAAUUUUAACAAAAGAGGUGGUGGAAGGAAGGGCGAUAGCGAUCUCUGCAGUGACUGAGCCCGAGAUUAUGCGAGGUAAGUGGGCAGUCGGGGCUGGGCUUGGCCGUAAAUAAAUCAAUCAUUGCUUCUUUCCAAGAGGAGGACCAGAUCCUAUAUAAAAGUUCUCCCACACCACGUUCCCUCAGUCCCGUUGACUCCUUUCCACUGGUUCGUGCCGUGGGACACGGCUGUUCCUCUUCCUUCUCCUUCUGGAGGAGAAAUGAAACACUGAGCUCCUUUGAAAGAAUUGAAGAAUUUGAAAGGAUUGAAGAAUUUCAAAGUACAACGGAGUUAUUGUUAUGCAAAUGACGAGCUGGGUUCUUUCCUGCGGCCAGGGAAGAUUAAUCCCCGUCCCUGAGCACUGCAGCCCUUUCCCAAUUCCCAAACCACAUUUGGAUGAGGGACUCCCAUCACACAGACCAUGGGCUCCCACCAGCAGAAGGGCGACGGCCAAGGGAUGUCCGAGCAGUCCGGAGGGUGCCACGGCGGCGGGUGGCGGCUGCGGCUGCUGCUGCCAUCACGGAGGAGGUGGAGGAGGAGGAGGAUGCUGCCACAGCAGCGGUGGAGGAGGAUACCAGACCCAGGGAUCGUCCUGCCACGGAGGAGGAGGAGGAGGAGGAGGCUGCUGCGGUGGCGGCGGUGGCAGCGGUGGCGGUGGUCACCAGGGCCAAGGUCCCAUCUGCAUUGGAGGGGGAGGAGGAGGAGGUGGUGGUGGUGGGCAACAAAGCCAAGGUCCCAUUGUUAUUAGUGGAGGAGGUGGUGGUGGUGGAGGCUCAGGGCAGCAAAGCCAAGGGCCCAUCUGCAUCGGUGGGGGUGGCAAGGGAGGAGGAGGAGGAGGAGGAGGUGGUGGCUCAGGCCACCAGGGCCAAGGUCCCAUCAUCAUCAGUGGUGGUGGAGGAGGAGGAGGAGGAGGCUCAGGGCAGCAAAGCCAUGGCCCCGUGUGCAUUGGGGGAGGCAGUGGAGGAGGAGGAGGAGGCUCAGGCCACCAGGGCCAGGGUCCUGUCGUCAUCAUCGGGGGCGGUGGUGGAGGUGGAGGUGGCUCCUCCAGCUCUGGAGGAAUGUCCAUGCAGCAGCAGACCCAGCCCAUCUGCUGGCCACCGCAGACCAAGCGCAAGUAGUGGCUGCCAGAAGGACUCUGCCACCAAGGAAGCCCAAGAUAUGAAGAUGCCUGACAUUUCCUCACCUAUUAAAUUUAAGAUUAUUUGCCUUGUUCUCUUCUCCCUUCCCCUGGGAAUGUUCUGACCGGAACCUCUGGUGUUGCGUAUCCAUAACUCCAGCCAGGGCUGUUCCGUGUGCCUGUUCCUGCCCCAGUGUUCAAGUGCUUGCACCAGACAAUAAAAGUUGCAGUUCUAGAAAGUUCCGUGCGUGA
rnacentral:lncRNA from 1 species